ensembl:lncRNA novel transcript, antisense to DSCR3
ACGUGACCACGCCUACAGCCGAAGAGGAUGGGAAAAUGCGGCCCUGUUCCUGAACAGGAAGCGGAAGCAGGAAGGAACUGAGAACACCAGCAUCUGCUGCCGCCCUGAAUCAGCGUUAGCAUGUGGAGGCAACCUCAGCCCCCAGUUUUUGAAGAAGGUGAUUCAGAUUCAGACACAGGAAUUAUGGUGACGGUAGAAAUGGACUGGAAGGUUCGUUCCCCUUGCCCACCAAGACUCCAGAGCAGUUUCUUUCAGGGUGGAAACAGUCCCAACCUAGAAAGCUGAUCAGAAGACUCCCACCCACAUACCAGCAAUUGGUAUCUGCAUGGCUACGUACGCAGCUUCCUCUGAAUCCAGAAAUGCCUACUGUGAGCAAGACUGGAGGUUAUUGGUGCCACCCACGAGGCAGCAGCAUGCCACUUUCCAGAAGGACUGCCCUGUCCCUGUGGUUCCUGCUCACACCAGGAGGCAUCGGCGCCUCCAUUCCCUUGGUUCACACAUCAUCGAGAGACUUCACAACAGAUCAUCUGUGCAUUUAUCUGAAGAUAAUUACUGAGUAAUAGAUUACGGAUAGUAACUGCAUUCGCUAUUGGAGAGCAGUUUCUUCCUGUCACCAUAGAACUGGAUGGUCUCAAUCUGUUACAGGGGCUCGAGUGGAAGAGGAAAUUGAGGGGAUGAAAUAGUAUCAAGCGGAACAGAAAGACUGAAUCCACAAUCCACACAGAACAACACGUCUCAGGCUGGGCGUGGUGGCUCAUGCCUGCAGUCCCAGCACUUUCAGAGGCCAAGGUGGACAGGUUGCUUGAGCCUAGGAGUUUGAGACCAGCCUGGGUAACAUAGCGAGACUCCAUCUCUACAAAUAAUAAGAAAAAAAAUUAGCUGAGUGUGGUGGCACCCACCUGUGGUCCCAGCUACUGGGGAGGCUGAGGUGGGAGAAUUGCUUGAGCCUGGGUGGUUGAGGCUGCAGCGAGCUGUGACUACGCUACUGCAUUCCAGCCUGGGUGACAGAGCAAAACCCUAUCUCAAAAAUAAACAGUAAAAAUAAAAAUUGGCCUGCAGAUCAAACCAUUAAAAAACAUCUGUCCUACUGGUGUUUAAA